GACGAACGCUGGCGGCGUGCUUAACACAUGCAAGUCGAACGGAAAGGCCCUGCUUUUGUGGGGUGCUCGAGUGGCGAACGGGUGAGUAACACGUGAGUAACCUGCCCUUUACUUUGGGAUAACUUCAGGAAACUGGGGCUACUACCGGAUAGGAGCUCCUGCUGCAUGGUGGGGGUUGGAAAGUUUCGGCGGUUGGGGAUGGACUCGCGGCUUAUCAGCUUGUUGGUGGGGUAGUGGCUUACCAAGGCUUUGACGGGUAGCCGGCCUGAGAGGGUGACCGGCCACAUUGGGACUGAGAUACGGCCCAGACUCAUACGGGAGGCAGCAGUGGGGAAUAUUGCACAAUGGGCGGAAGCCUGAUGCAGCAACGCCGCGUGCGGGAUGACGGCCUUCGGGUUGUAAACCGCUUUCGCCUGUGACGAAGCGUGAGUGACGGUAAUGGGUAAAGAAGCACCGGCUAACUACGUG
rnacentral:rRNA from 1 species